rnacentral:rRNA from 1 species
UACGUAGGGGGCUAGCGUUGUCCGGAUUUAUUGGGCGUAAAGAGCGUGUAGGCGGCCAGGUAGGUCUGGUGUGAAAACUCGAGGCUUAACCUCGAGAUGUCAUCGGAAACCAUCUGGCUAGAGUCCGGAAGGGGAGAGUGGAAUUCCUGGUGUAGCGGUGAAAUGCGCAGAUAUCAGGAAGAACACCAAUGGCGAAAGCAGCUCUCUGGGACGGUACUGACGCUGAGACGCGAAAGCGUGGGGAGCGAACAGG